GCCAUCCCCUUCUGCGGCCCUUUCUCUUCGUGCAGAAAAGACUAGAUUCCCAGCCCACCUUCUCACGAGCGAUUCUCACCUAUCCCAUCUCUCCUCUGCCAUUCUGAUCCCAAUUCCCCUCCACCAACGAGCGUCCGCCGCCGCACCGCGUUGCCCCGGCGACCAGCGCGUCCUCCCCGCCGUCGCAGCUUCAUGUCGAGCACCUCCUCGUGCAUGGUCUACCUCCCGCCCACAUACUCCCGAUCCGGACGCAAAAGAGACAUCCAGAGCCACAGUUUCGUUGGAUCCCGCCCCGCGGCAGUGAGAUCUAGUGCGGGCCUCUGGCCGGCGUCUUACUCGUCCUUGCCGCGGCGCGAGGGGCGGACGACCAGUGGUCGCUCAAUAUCGGCGACAGCGUAAACGCGGGAUUCACCUCCAUGGACGAUUCCCUUUCGUCGAGCUCUAAGGCCACGGAUAUGCAGCUCUGUUAGCAUUGAACAAGGGUGAUGCCAAAACUCCUUCGCAUCGUUGGUCUUCCAGAUCGACGAGCUAGUUUUUUCUAUCUCUAUGUGUUGCAAGUUUCUGUUGUAGAUGUAUGUGCUAAGCAUCCUGUUCUCAAUACGUGUGCUCCAUAUAAAUAUAGAUUCAGAGAAGUACAGGCUACAUCAACUUUGUUUCUUCAAUGCUACAUCUCUCUCUUCUCUCUCCCGAAUUAUCUGAACUGAUGUUUUGGUUUUGGAUCGAA